UACGAAGGGGGCUAGCGUUGCUCGGAAUGACUGGGCGUAAAGGGCACGUAGGCGGUUUGUACAGUCAGGUGUGAAAUUCCCGGGCUCAACCUGGGGGCUGCACUUGAUACGUAGGAACUGGAGUGGGGAAGAGGGUCGUGGAAUUCCCAGUGUAGAGGUGAAAUUCGUAGAUAUUGGGAAGAACACCGGUGGCGAAGGCGGCGACCUGGUCCUUGACUGACGCUGAGGCGCGAAAGCGUGGGGAGCAAACAGG
rnacentral:rRNA from 1 species